rnacentral:lncRNA from 1 species
AUGGAGUUUUGCUUUUGUUGUCCAGACUGGAGUGCAAUGGCAUGAUCUUGGCUCAGUGCAACCUCCAUCUCCCAGGUACAAGCGAUUCUCCUGCCUCAGCCUCCCAAGUAACUGGGAUUACAGGCACCCACCCCCACACCCAGCUAAUUUUGUAUUUUUAGUAGAGACGGGGUUUCACCAUGUUGGUCAGGAUGGUUUCGAACUCCUGACCUCAGGUGAUCCUCCUGCCUUGGCCUCCCAAAGUGCUGGGAUUACAGGCAUGAGUCACCGUACCUGGCCC